rnacentral:rRNA from 1 species
AGUGAACGCUGGCGGUAGGCCUAACACAUGCAAGUCGAACGGCAGCACAGUAAGAGCUUGCUCUUACGGGUGGCGAGUGGCGGACGGGUGAGGAAUACAUCGGAAUCUACUUUUUCGUGGGGGAUAACGUAGGGAAACUUACGCUAAUACCGCAUACGACCUACGGGUGAAAGCAGGGGAUCUUCGGACCUUGCGCGAUUGAAUGAGCCGAUGUCGGAUUAGCUAGUUGGCGGGGUAAAGGCCCACCAAGGCGACGAUCCGUAGCUGGUCUGAGAGGAUGAUCAGCCACACUGGAACUGAGACACGGUCCAGACUCCUACGGGAGGCAGCAGUGGGGAAUAUUGGACAAUGGGCGAAAGCCUGAUCCAGCAAUACCGCGUGAGUGAAGAAGGCCUUCGGGUUGUAAAGCCCUUUUGUUGGGAAAGAAAAGAAGCAGGUUAAUACCCCGCUGUUCUGACGGUACCCAAAGAAUAAGCACCGGCUAACUUCGUG